rnacentral:rRNA from 1 species
ACUCCUACGGGAGGCAGCAGUGAGGAAUAUUGGACAAUGGGCGAGGGCCUGAUCCAGCCAUGCCGCGUGCAGGAAGAAUGCCCUAUGGGUAGUAAACUGCUUUUAUACGGGAAGAAAAAGGGCACGUGUGCCCUGUUGACGGUACCGUAAGAAUAAGGACCGGCUAACUCCGUGCCAGCAGCCGCGGUAAUACGGAGGGUCCGAGCGUUAUCCGGAUUUAUUGGGUUUAAAGGGUCCGUAGGCGGGUUAAUAAGUCAGUGGUGAAAUCCCAUCGCUUAACGAUGGAACUGCCAUUGAUACUGUUAGUCUUGAAUGAGGGUGCAGUGGUUGGAAUGUGUAGUGUAGCGGUGAAAUGCAUAGAUAUUACACAGAACACCGAUUGCGAAGGCAGAUCACUAACCCUAAAUUGACGCUGAGGGACGAAAGCGUGGGGGAGCGAACAGGAUUAGAUACCCUGGUAGACUGUC